rnacentral:rRNA from 1 species
CAGUCGCCGCGGUAAAACGUAGGGUCCGAGCGUUGUCCGGAAUUAUUGGGCGUAAAGAGCUCGUAGGCGGUCUGUCGCGUCUGCCGUGAAAUCCUCAGGCUCAACCUGAGGCGUGCGGUGGGUACGGGCAGGCUAGAGUGCGGUAGGGGAGAAUGGAACUCCUGGUGUAGCGGUGGAAUGCGCAGAUAUCAGGAAGAACACCGAUGGCGAAGGCAGUUCUCUGGGCCGUAACUGACGCUGAGGAGCGAAAGCGUGGGGAGCGAACAGGAUUAGAUACCCCAGUAGUCCCUGUCUCUUAUAC